CUAUAUGUACAACAACGACUCAGCUAAUUAAUCUCCAGUCGAUCACUAUUAUCUACUUGCAACGACCCGACCUACUAACAACAAUAAUUUGUUUUAUUAUCUACUUGUAACGACCUGACCUGCUAACAAUAAUAAUUUGUUAGGCCGACCGUUCCUAGCGCAAGUGGCAAAAGGGUUUGGUGGUUGGUACCCGAGACCCAAAUUCGAAUUCUAAUUGAUUCACAUUUCUAGCUAAGUUUAUUUCUAAAUGAAAUAAACAAAACAGCUAGCAUCAUGCUACCUUUCUCUCUCAAAAACAAUAACUUGUUGGGCCCCAAACCACCCGCCUAAAGUACUUAAGUUCAGCUAUUAUUACUAGCCUGUAGGUUUCAUAUAUUCUAAUUAGAAUUAUUUUUUCCACAUCAGAUCAGAAUUAUCAGGCAACGUGAUAUUCUAGAGACUUUGCCCCGCAUAGCACUUAGCUCUUACAUUUCCGGCUGGUAUUCGGCUCUGAUACCAUUUGUAACGAUCCGACCCACUAACAAUAAUAAUUCGUUGGGCCAAACCACCGGCCCAAAAUACUUAAGCCUAGUUAUUAUUACUAGUGUAUAAGCCUCAUAUUUUCUAAUCAGAAUUUUUUUUUAUUCGAUAUGGAACUAUUGGGACGUUACAAGUAAAUAAUCGCAUGUUAAAGCACAGGCAUUUAGAA
rnacentral:lncRNA from 1 species